rnacentral:misc_RNA from 1 species
AAUCAUUGGGAUCCAUCCGAUUCUACACUUCACACAAAAAAUUAGAAAAUAAAUUAAUAACACAAACAAAAGCAAGUUCUUUACUUCAACUCACAAGCUAAAAAACUUUUCCAGAAGUGACAAUGCAAAUAUCAAAACCAAUCCUUCAAAUUUGGAAUAACCCAUAAAAUGACAAAGUUACCCUUCAUCAUUUCAAGAGCACAAGAAGUGGAGACAGCAACAG